rnacentral:rRNA from 1 species
CCCUUAGAUGUUCUGGGCCGCACGCGCGCUACACUGAACAGUUCAACAAGUCUUAACCUUGGCCGAUAGGUCUGGGUAAUCUUUGAACGCUGUUCGUGAUUGGGAUAGACCUUUGCAAUUAUGGGUCUUCAACGAGGAAUUCCUAGUAAACGCAAGUCAUCAGCUUGCAUUGAUUACGUCCCUGCCCUUUGUACACACCGCCCGUCGCACCCACCGAUUGAAUGGUCCGGUGAAAUCUCGGGACGGCGGCUUGGUCGCUUGCGUCCGACUGCUGAAACUUGAUUAAACCAUAUCAUUUAGAGGAAGGUGAAGUCGUAACA